GCCCAUGUGGCUCAGUGGUAGAGCACUCCCUUGGUAAGGGAGAGGUCGGCAGUUCAAUCCUGCCCAUGGGCACCA
rnacentral:tRNA from 10 species